rnacentral:rRNA from 1 species
AUUGAACGCUGGCGGCAGGCCUAACACAUGCAAGUCGAGCGGAUGAAGGGAGCUUGCUCCUGGAUUCAGCGGCGGACGGGUGAGUAAUGCCUAGGAAUCUGCCUGGUAGUGGGGGAUAACGUCCGGAAACGGGCGCUAAUACCGCAUACGUCCUGAGGGAGAAAGUGGGGGAUCUUCGGACCUCACGCUAUCAGAUGAGCCUAGGUCGGAUUAGCUAGUUGGUGGGGUAAAGGCCUACCAAGGCGACGAUCCGUAACUGGUCUGAGAGGAUGAUCAGUCACACGGGAACUGAGACAAGGUCCAGACUCCUACGGGGGGCAAGAGUGGGGAAUAUUGGGCGAUGGGCGGAAACCUUGUCCAACCAUGCCGCGUGUUGUAAAAAGGUCUUCAGAUUGUAAAGCACUUUAAGUUGGGAGGAAGGGCAGUAAGUUAAUACCUUGCUGUUUUGACGUUACCAACAGAAUAAGCACCGGCUAACUUCGUG